rnacentral:rRNA from 1 species
AUUGAACGCUGGCGGAAUGCUUUACACAUGCAAGUCGAACGGCAGCACGGACUUCGGUCUGGUGGCGAGUGGCGAACGGGUGAGUAAUGUAUCGGAACGUGCCCAGUCGUGGGGGAUAACGUAGUGAAAAUUACGCUAACACCGCAUACGAUCUAUGGAUGAAAGCGGGGGAUCGCAAGACCUCGAGCGAUUGGAGCGGCCGAUAUCAGAUUAGGUAGUUGGUGGGGUAAAGGCCCACCAAGCCAACGAUCUGUAGCUGGUCUGAGAGGACGACCAGCCACACUGGAACUGAGACACGGUCCAGACUCCUACGGGAGGCAGCAGUGGGGAAUUUUGGACAAUGGGCGAAAGCCUGAUCUAGCCAUUCCGCGUGCAGGAUGAAGGCCCUCGGGUUGUAAACUGCUUUUGUACAGAACGAAAAGGUUUCUACUAAUACUAGGAGCUCAUGACGGUACUGUAAGAAUAAGCACCGGCUAACUACGUGCCAGCAGCCGCAGUAA